UGGACGUCUAGGUGUCUAACCUCCUCCGAGGUAGACACCAAAGGUAACCUGACACAGGGACCCUGAGAAACGGCUACCACAUGCAAGGAAGACAGCAGGCGCGCAAAUGACCCACUCCCGACGCGGGAAGGUAGUGAUGGCAAAUAACAAUACAGGACUCUUUAGAGGCCCUGCAAUUGUAAUGAGUCCACUUGAAAUCCUGUAACUCUGAUCAAUUGAAGGGAAGUCUGGUGCAGAGCCACUGACCCGUGCGUGCUGUAGCUGAAACUCCA